rnacentral:lncRNA from 1 species
GAAAAGUCUGAACACCUUGGAGAAUACCACUUGUGGAGGAGAGAAGCUGGCCCUUUACCUUGGCUAUUAGCACUUAUUCCUAUACCAUCAUCGAGAGAAAGAUAAGUCAAUUACUAAUUCUGUCUACUCCCUUCACCCCCAAUAAUUGACAAGAGAUCUCUUUGGAAACUCAACAUGAUACAGCUAGAUUCAGGUGAAAGACAGAAAUCUAUGACAAAUAACAAAGGAUGCCAUAGAUGACAAGGUAAACUUCUGUCCUAUCAUUAGCAAGACUGAAGUCCGUAUCAGUUGUGAGAAAAGAAUGUAAUUUGUGUUUAACCUAAGUUGCAAAACUUUGAAGGUUAAAUGUUUAAAAGCUGCUCAAGUAUUUUAUAACAUCUGAAUUUUA